UACGAAGGGGGCGAGCGUUGUUCGGAAUCACUGGGCGUAAAGGGCACGUAGGCGGCCCUCUUAGUCGCGUGUGAAAGCCCCGGGCUCAACCUGGGAACGGCGCGCGAAACGGGAGGGCUGGAGUUCGGGAGAGGAGAGUGGAAUUCCCAGUGUAGAGGUGAAAUUCGUAGAUAUUGGGAAGAACACCGGUGGCGAAGGCGGCUCUCUGGACCGAGACUGACGCUGAGGCGCGAAAGCGUGGGGAGCAAACAGG
rnacentral:rRNA from 1 species